UCGCCUUGAUCUCACCCUGAGCACAGCCGCGGACGCCUUGAUCUCACCCUGAGCACAGCCGCGGACGCCUUGAUCUCACCCUGAGCACAGCCGCGGAGCAGGCUGACUGGAGCCCACGAUACUAAGUCCCAAUGCAAUAUAUAAUCUUUUGUCAUCCUCAGAAGUUGGAAAGCUGAAGCAAUGUCUGUCCCAGGAAUGAAGAUUGUGUGGCAGAUUCCUAAGGCCUUCUGGUCUCUCAGUAUGCUUACUUAUUUAAAAGGACAAUUCUCUGCUUUUGAAUAUGUCUUGUAGGUUUUUCUGUGCCUGUGAAGGAACAAAAGUUGCUAUCUUUAGUUCAAAUCUGGAAGUCAUAUGGAUUCCUAGUGCAAACGAAGUAUGGAACAUACUUGGAAAAGUUGAAAUAACAGAAGAUAAGGCCGGCUAGGUGCCAGAAAAAUCAGGCCAAGAGGACACAAAACUGAGUUUCUGUCUUGUCUACUUGCAAAUAAACUUGACUUGAGUCAUCAUUAUUAUUGCAACAGGGUCUUAUAAUGUAGCUCAGGCUGAUUCCAACUGGAGAGCUGCCCAACUGAAAUGCCUGACCUGGGAUUCCAGAACACAUAGCCACAUCUCUCAGCCAAAUACACUGACUCUGAACAGCUUGCCAAAUCCUAUCACUUCCAUGGUAACAGCUGCAGUUUUCAGUGGAGAGGAAGGACCCAGUCCUAAAGCAUUUCCAGAAUUCAUCCUGCCAAGAGCUGCCUUAUGUCCACGCUUUAUAUAGGAUUGGUUCCUGUUGUCAAAGACAAACAACCUAAAUUCUUUUUGUUUGUUCAUUUUGGUUUUUGUGAUAGAGUUUUACUAUGUAGCCCUGACUAAUCUUAUAAACCAGGCUGAUCUCGAAAGCUCUGCCUUCCUGUCUUCUGAGUGCUGGGAUAAAAGGCAGGAGCUCAGCCCCAAUCUAAAUGUUUAACAAUCCACUGGUGUAAUCUUUUCCAUUCGAAGCCUAGGGCACAAGAGCACACUGGAGCCUGCCUAAAAGUGUGUUGCCUCAGUGGCAACUAUUAUCUGCUCUAAAUAAACUCCUUUACUACUUAAAGAAUUUGUGCCUCUUUCUCUCACAAAGAUCUACUCAUACAAAGAAUCAUGACCACAUUCAGCACAUUAGAAGAUGCAAGAUGAUGCUCAGAUGUUUAUCAACUGAGUUAUUAUACUUCUGGCAUUAUGUGACACACACACUUCUAUUAACAUCUAGUGGCCCUGAGAAGUUCCACAGCAGGACACCAAUAGCUACGGCUGGCACAACCAGGGGGAGAGAGACUCUGUCUUCAGCCAAGUGAAUUAAAUUAAAUUAAAUCAUAAUUUAAUCCUUACUGUUGCCACCACAUGCUUCUGGAAAAUGGAUAAUCAGUCCUACAUCCAUCUGGUUCCAGUUUCCUGAAAUGGCGUGGACCACACGGUGACCAUUGCAUUGCUGCUCGACAAAGUUCCAGCAUUUCCACAUUGCAGAGCACGCUUCUCCAGCACCUUUUAAGCCUUCAUUUUCAUUGAUGCUCAAUAUUAAUGCCUUUCAAUUUGGUCAGUUUUGUGUGGGUUCAGUCAGGUGUCUGCCUCCCUGAGAUCUGAAGACACAGUGGAAGCUUGCACCCUGGGAGAAUGAAGUGUUUGUUCCUUGAUGACAUGAGGAAGCUCUGCCCCACGACUCCUGAAGUCUUCUAGACUCGAGCCUAGACAUAUAUUCAUUUGUCAUAUUUUUUAAAGCCGGAUCUCAUUGAAGGCAGCCAAGGCAGGAAGUGAAGCAGGGGCUGUGGAAGACCACUGCUUACUCUUGGUGCCCAGGACUUGCUCGGCCUGCCUGCUUUUCAUUCUUUUCACUUCUUUGAGACAGGGUCUCACUGUGUAGACCCAGCUGUCCUGGAACCCACAACCUCACAGCUCACAGACUCACCUUCCUCUGCCUUCAGAGUGCUAGCAUGAAAGGUAAGUUGGCACCAAGUCCAUCUGAGGCAUUCCCUUGAUUGAGGUCCCUCCUCUUAGAUAACUCUAGCUUGUGCCAAGUUGACAAAAAAAAAAAACCAACUAACCAGGACAGGCCAAUAGGAUGACCAUGCUCUUGUAAUUGGUGGCCACAACAAAACAUAGCCAGUUGUCUAUCGAUAUUGAAUUGAUAUUCUUGUUGGGAGCCCUGUGGCCUAGUUUCGGACCAGUAUAUGAGUGCUUGUUCCAGAUGCGACAAAGCCCACAGGGACAGUCUCACUCGGCAAGAACCAGUGGACAUCCAGACAGUGCAGAGUACUGCUGGGACCGAAAGGCCUGCACCAUCUCUUCUCUCUCAUAAUAAUGAUGAUUCUCUUGGUGUUUUUUUGUGUCACUUUGUCAGUCACACAUGGGACAGAUGUGAUCAUUCCUGGAGAUCCCAUUUUUUUUUUCUCUAAUAUUUUCCCCUAAAAUAGUUUGGGAGCUGAUGCUUCCUGGGUUUCUUGUCUGGGGAUGGCAGCUGUCUCUCCAGACCCCAGCAGCUGUCCUGAUUCAGUGCUGACAGGAUGAGAGGCAAAUCACCCCUAUUUCUGUAAAUAUGCUUUAAAUUUUGAACAAUAUUGUUGUUCUUGAGAUUGUGAGCUUAUGUUUGUCACCUUUCAGUUUUGUAAAGACGGGAUGUAUCUGGAUUGAUAUUUGGCCAAGCUAGCAAAAUGUCAAGUGUUGGUUUUGGUUUAGAGAUGUUUUUAGGGUUGGAAAGAUGGCUCGGUGGUUAAGAGCAUUGAGGGCUCUUACAGAGGUCUUGAGUUCAACUCCCAGAAACAACCUGGAGACUCACAACCAUCCAAAAUGAAAACUGGCGCCCUCCUUUGGCCUGCAGGGAUACUUGCAGACAAAAUACAAUAUAUAAUAAACAAGCAUGUUUUGAUGUAAAAGUUGGGAAAAAACAUAUUUGACAUUUUUGCUGAAGGUUCACACUGGAGGGUGAGAAAAACAUGUUUGUUAGUAUGGGAAAACAUGCUUGUUUUUGAAGUAUAAAUAAAGAUGGCAGGGGCGAUUUGGGCCCAUCACUUGUGUGAAACUCACUGAUGGUCAGACAAUUCAUUUCUUUGCUUGGAGACCCCUUCCCCUUCUCAAGACCCAAACAGGGCUGUGGCAGGACUCUGGCACAUUCACAUACUGGGAAAAUGCUCAUCAAAGCAGCAGCCCAACAGCCACUCACCCCUGAAACAAAUCAUGUAUAUAAGAAAGGUGUUGCCUUGAAAACACAAACCCUCUGACAAAAAGCUAUGGCGCUCAUUUAUGUGGAUUCUAAGAGUAAGAAAAGUUCAUCCCAGGCAGAGAAAUCAAAAUGGUUAUUGUAUAACCCGGCUUGGGGUUGGGAUGACAAGAAAGGACUUCUGGCCUGUUGAAAAUAAAUAAUCUGAACUAGGAGAUGAUGGUUCGUUUCGUCAGAAUUCAUCAGGCUACACUCUGGUUACCCGUGCUCUUCAAUCGGUAUGAAUUAAUACUCAAAUCACUCACUGUGAAGGGAAAUGUCUUGGUUUUUAUUUUUAGUAUAUUGUUAAGAUUAUUUAAAAUACCUCAUGGAGUAAGAACUCAGAUCUCAUUUCAAACUUGGCCUAGAAGUCGAUAUGGCUCGAGAUAUCUGAGAUAACAAAACAGAAACAAAACCAAAAAACGAAUCUGGCCACACCAUGGCAUUAGAGCACUUGGCAGCGAGAUUGAUUACACCAAUACCAAGUUCUCCUGUUUGAGUGUGCACCAGACAGUUUCCAUACUUUCUUCUGCUUCAGUAGUCCUGAGUGAUGCUCGCGCUGUAGUCGCUGGUAAUUGAAGCAGUGACUUGGGGAUUGGAAAGUGAAAGAAAACCACAGUUGCUCCGUAGAAAGCCCAUUCCCAGGUCUCGGAUUCGAACAGCAGUCACAGAGUCACAGGCAAAUUGCUAAGAGCUACGAAGUAACUUGAGGAUCCCGGCAUAUUCGUGUGUGAGUGUUCCCACUCGCUCCUCCUCCCUGAGCGCCAGUACCGCACCCGGACCCCUCAGCUUUUCCAGCGAUCGCAGACCAGGCAGAGAGCGGCUCCAAGGCUCCAGUCCACAGCCCCACCCCAGCCCCAAACCAGGCCUUCACGCGUGAGUACCCUGGAUCUGCGAAGGCCUAGACCCGAAAACUCCCGCGGUUUCCUUCGCCGAGUCCUGUUGGGGGUCCCGGUCGCGCCGCUGUCGUCGUGGAGCCCCUGGCAGCUCGGUGAGUCCCCUGUGGUGUCUCAACGCUUAGGAGGAAGCGAGGGGCGCAUCACGUCUGCGAGACUAGUUAUCAUUGGAUCCUUAGUUACAGUUUCUUCCUAAAUAGAGUUAUUCCUGGCUGACAUCCGGA